UAGGAGCCGAUGAAGGACGGGACGAACACCGAUAUGCUUCGGGGAGCUGUAAGCAAGCUUUGAUCCGGAGAUUUCCGAAUGGGGAAACCCACCACUCGUAAUGGAGUGGUAUCCAUAUCUGAAUACAUAGGAUAUGAGAAGGCAGACCCGGGGAACUGAAACAUCUAAGUACCCGGAGGAAGAGAAAGCAAAUGCGAUUCCCUGAGUAGCGGCGAGCGAAACGGGACCAGCCCAAACCAAGAGGCUUGCCUCUUGGGGUUGUAGGACACUCUGUACGGAGUUACAAAGGAACGAGGUAGAUGAAGAGGUCUGGAAAGGCCCGCCAUAGGAGGUAACAGCCCUGUAGUCAAAACUUCGUUCUCUCCUGAGUGGAUCCUGAGUACGGCGGAACACGUGAAAUUCCGUCGGAAUCCGGGAGGACCAUCUCCCAAGGCUAAAUACUCCCUAGUGACCGAUAGUGAACCAGUACCGUGAGGGAAAGGUGAAAAGCACCCCGGAAGGGGAGUGAAAGAGAUCCUGAAACCGUGUGCCUACAAGUAGUCAGAGCCCGUUAACGGGUGAUGGCGUGCCUUUUGUAGAAUGAACCGGCGAGUUACGAUCCCGUGCAAGGUUAAGCAGAAGAUGCGGAGCCGCAGCGAAAGCGAGUCUGAAUAGGGCGAAUUGAGUACGUGGUCGUAGACCCGAAACCAGGUGAUCUACCCAUGUCCAGGGUGAAGUUCAGGUAACACUGAAUGGAGGCCCGAACCCACGCACGUUGAAAAGUGCGGGGAUGAGGUGUGGGUAGGGGUGAAAUGCCAAUCGAACCUGGAGAUAGCUGGUUCUCUCCGAAAUAGCUUUAGGGCUAGCCUCAAGGUAAGAGUCUCGGAGGUAGAGCACUGAUUGGACUAGGGGCCCCUACCGGGUUACCGAAUUCAGUCAAACUCCGAAUGCCGAUGACUUAUCCUUGGGAGUCAGACUGCGAGUGAUAAGAUCCGUAGUCGAAAGGGAAACAGCCCAGACCGCCAGCUAAGGUCCCAAAGUAUACGUUAAGUGGAAAAGGAUGUGGAGUUGCUUAGACAACCAGGAUGUUGGCUUAGAAGCAGCCACCAUUUAAAGAGUGCGUAAUAGCUCACUGGUCGAGUGACUCUGCGCCGAAAAUGUACCGGGGCUAAACGUAUCACCGAAGCUGCGGACUGUUCUUCGAACAGUGGUAGGAGAGCGUUCUAAGGGCUGUGAAGCAAGACCGGAAGGACUUGUGGAGCGCUUAGAAGUGAGAAUGCCGGUAUGAGUAGCGAAAGAGGGGUGAGAAUCCCCUCCACCGAAUGCCUAAGGUUUCCUGAGGAAGGCUCGUCCGCUCAGGGUUAGUCGGGACCUAAGCCGAGGCCGAAAGGCGUAGGCGAUGGAUAACAGGUUGAUAUUCCUGUACCACCUCCUCACCAUUUGAGCAAUGGGGGGACGCAGGAGGAUAGGGUAAGCGCGGUAUUGGAUAUCCGCGUCCAAGCAGUUAGGCUGGGAAAUAGGCAAAUCCGUUUCCCGUGAAGGCUGAGCUGUGAUGGCGAGCGAAUUAUAGUAGCGAAGUUCCUGAUUCCACACUGCCAAGAAAAGCCUCUAGCGAGGUGAGAGGUGCCCGUACCGCAAACCGACACAGGUAGGCGAGGAGAGAAUCCUAAGGUGAUCGAGAGAACUCUCGUUAAGGAACUCGGCAAAAUGACCCCGUAACUUCGGGAGAAGGGGUGCUCUGUUAGGGUGCAAGCC
rnacentral:rRNA from 2 species